CUGCAGCUCAAGUGGUGACCACUAUUAUUGGGCCUAAAACGUUCGUAGCCGGUUUGGUAAAUGCCUGGGUAAAUCGUGUAGCUUAACUACACGAAUUCCGGGUAGACUGCCAAACUUGAGACCGGGAGAAGCUAGAGGUACUCCUGGGGUAGAGGUGAAAUUCUGUAAUCCUGGGGGGACCACCAGUGGCGAAGGCGUCUAGCUAGAACGGGUCUGACGGUGAGGAACGAAGCCCUGGGGCGCAAACCGGAUUAGAUACCCGAGUAGUCC
rnacentral:rRNA from 1 species